GAUGAACGCUGGCGGCGUGCCUAAUACAUGCAAGUCGAGCGAACAGACGAGGAGCUUGCUCCUCUGACGUUAGCGGCGGACGGGUGAGUAACACGUGGAUAACCUACCUAUAAUACUGGGAUAACUACGGGAAACCGGAUCUAAUACCAGAUAAUAUAUUGAACCGCAUAGUUCAAUAGUUAAAGAUGGUUUUGCUGUCUCUUAUAGAUGGAUCCGCGCCGCAUUAGCUAGUUGGUAAGGUAACGGCUUACCAAGGCAACGAUGCGUAGCCGACCUGAGAGGGUGAUCGGCCACACUGGAACUGAGACACGGUCCAGACUCCUACGGGAGGCAGCAGUAGGGAAUCUUGCGCAAUGGGCGAAAGCCUGACGGAGCAACGCCGCGUGAGUGAUGAAGGUCUUCGGAUCGUAAAACUCUGUUAUUAGGGAAGAACAAAUGUGUAAGUAACUAUGCACGUCUUGACGGUACCUAAUCAGAAAGCCCCGGCUAACUACGUG
rnacentral:rRNA from 1 species